UCAAAAGAGUAUAUGAACUAUGAAAUGUAAAUGGGAUUUGUUCGCAGGUUCGCAGUGUUUCUGACUGAAUAGCGAAAAUUUUUGUGACACACCGAAUUGAUAUGGAUGUUGAAAAACUAAUACUUAUUGUCUUAUAUAUGAAAGAAAGUCGUUGUGGGAUAUCAGCGAAAAAUGAUGGAAUUCUCCAAAUUGUUUUCGUUCAUGGCAACGUUAUCAUCAUUCGUUAUCAGCAAGCCAAUAGUUUUUUCUUUUUAACUUUAAUCGAAUUCUGGCGAGAUAACUAUUUUCCAAAAGAAAAUCAUCCAUUAUUAUUAACAGUUGUACAGUUACGAUGAAUAAAUUACCGCGAAUAAAUGUGGUUAUUUGACACAACAUUCACAAUUUGUACGAUAAGAAAAGUUUCAGGUGACGAGUUCAUAGUUCGGGGUGCCCGCCGCAGUGGCGCAAUGCCGCAAUCCAACAAUGUAUGAUCCGAGGCCGGAAUCGAGGCCUCGCCAACAUGAUGUGAAUGCAAGUCAUGUGGGCGUUAAUAAUCGAAGGCCUACUAAUUCGAGACCAGGCGAACAUUUCAGUCUCAACAUGCUCCUACGAAUGGCCAAGGCCAUGGCCAAUCCUAUGCCGACGGUCGUCCUCAGACGCAUCUUCCUGCGCAGCCUCAGGCCCGUCCCCAAGCCGAUGGAGGCUCGUCAAAGAUACAUGUCCAAGAAAAUCUGAACAUAAGACCAGGUCCAUCGGGAAUCGGCCCAUUGCAUCCUCUAAAAACUGCUGUACGACCAACUCCUUACCUCUUGCAACCCAGCAAUCAGCCAAUGGUAAGUUAAUAAGGAUGGAAAUUAUUUAUUAAUUUAAUUAAGUACAAAUAGGUGUACAACAUCAACCGCAGUUCAAUUCUAUUAAAAAUCGUAUAAUUAACACGGUUAAUCUAAAUUAGUUGUUGGAUUUCUGCGUAAAUAUAUUAGUGUAAUUUAGAAAUAUGGUUUUAAUUUAGAAUAUAUUUUAUUUAGAUCAUAAUAUUUAGAAUACAGUUUCUAUAUAUUUUGUUCACGCUUUCACUGCGCCAGUAUGGUAUUUAGACCACCCAGAGAGAUGCACCCCGGCACGCGCAGGGUAGUUAAACCACUGACCUGCUCUGGCGGCAUUUUCGGUUAUUUUGUUCAGUCUUAUCCGAUCCCUGCAAGCUAGCAAUUACUUAUAUUAAGUUUUGGUUUAAGUUUAAUUUAAUAAAUACAUUAAUUUGAAAGU